GGCCCCAUAGCUCAGUGGGUAGAGCAUUGGUUUGUUAAACCUGGUGUCAUGAGUUCGUAUCUCAUUGGGGCCU